AUUUAUAUAGUAUAAAAAUUAUAUUUGACUUCCAAUCAAAAAAUCUAGAACAUUACUAGUAUAAAUA
rnacentral:tRNA from 1 species